rnacentral:rRNA from 1 species
GAUGAACGCUGGCGGCGUGCCUAAUACAUGCAAGUCGAGCGAACAGACGAGGAGCUUGCUCCUCUGACGUUAGCGGCGGACGGGUGAGUAACACGUGGAUAACCUACCUAUAAGACUGGGAUAACUUCGGGAAACCGGAGCUAAUACCGGAUAAUAUAUUGAACCGCAUGGUUCAAUAGUGAAAGACGGUUUUGCUGUCACUUAUAGAUGGAUCCGCGCCGCAUUAGCUAGUGGGUAAGGUAACGGCUUACCAAGGCAACGAUGCGUAGCCGACCUGAGAGGGUGAUCGGACACACUGGAACUGAGACACGGUCCAGACUCCUACGGGAGGCAGCAGUAGGGAAUCUUCCGCAAUGGGCGAAAGCUUGACGGAGCAACGCCGCGUGAGUGAUGAAGGUCUUCGGAUCGUAAAACUCUGUUAUUAGGGAAGAACAAAUGUGUAAGUAACUAUGCACGUCUUGACGGUACCUAAUCAGAAAGCCACGGCUAACUACGUG